rnacentral:rRNA from 1 species
CGGCGGACGGGUGAGUAACGCGUGGGUAACCUGCCUCAUACAGGGGGAUAACAGUUGGAAACGGCUGCUAAUACCGCAUAAGCGCACAGUACCGCAUGGUACGGUGUGAAAAACUCCGGUGGUAUGAGAUGGACCCGCGUCUGAUUAGGUAGUUGGUGGGGUAACGGCCUACCAAGCCGACGAUCAGUAGCCGACCUGAGAGGGUGACCGGCCACAUUAGGACUGAGACACGGCCCAA